rnacentral:rRNA from 1 species
UACAGAGGUCUCAAGCGUUGUUCGGAUUCAUUGGGCGUAAAGGGUGCGUAGGUGGCGCCGUAAGUCAGGUGUGAAAUUUCGGAGCUUAACUCCGAAACUGCAUUUGAUACUGCGGUGCUUGAGGACUGGAGAGGAGACUGGAAUUUACGGUGUAGCAGUGAAAUGCGUAGAGAUCGUAAGGAAGACCAGUGGCGAAGGCGGGUCUCUGGACAGUUCCUGACAGCUGAG